ncrna:Pan troglodytes (chimpanzee) microRNA ptr-mir-663b precursor
CCGUCCGGCAUCCUAGGCGGGUCGCUGUGGGACCGCCCUCGUGUCUGUGGCGGUGGGAUCCUGUGGCCGUGUUUUCCUGGUGGCCCGGCC